rnacentral:rRNA from 1 species
AUUGAACGCUGGCGGCAUGCCUUACACAUGCAAGUCGAACGGCAGCACGGGAGCAAUCCUGGUGGCGAGUGGCGAACGGGUGAGUAAUAUAUCGGAACGUGCCCAGUCGUGGGGGGAUAACGCAGCGAAAGUUGUGCUAAUACCGCAUACGAUCUAUGGAUGAAAGCGGGGGAUCGCAAGACCUCGCGCGAUUGGAGCGGCCGAUAUCAGAUUAGGUUGUUGGUGAGGUAAAAGCUCACCAAGCCUGCGAUCUGUAGCUGGUCUGAGAGGACGACCAGCCACACUGGAACUGAGACACGGUCCAGACUCCUACGGGAGGCAGCAGUGGGGAAUUUUGGACAAUGGACGAAAGUCUGAUCCAGCAAUGCCGCGUGCAGGACGAAGGCCUUCGGUUGUAAACUGCUUUGUUACAGAACGAAAAGUACUUUAAUAACACCUAGAGGCUCAUGACGGUACUGUAAGAAUAAGCACCGGCUAACUACG